rnacentral:lncRNA from 1 species
GCUGACUAACUGUAGUUAAUGGUUCACUAAUAAAUAAUGAAGGCUUUUUAGCUUCAAGGCGAGACAUUUUCACAAUUAGAUUUUAAUUCUGAGUAACAAAAGAUUUCAUUCUUACUUGGAUCUAGAAUUCACAGCUCUUUCAAGUAGUACAUUUUUAUUCUUUGCUGACAAAGAUUACUACUUUAAAUGUAAAACAGUAUGCUAAGUACAUUUGAUUCUGCACACCAGCCAUCUCAAAAUGAGGCUUAAAUGCCGCUGUGAAAUUGAUAAUGACAGCUGUAAGCCAUUUCAUUCACGAUGGUUAUCUCUUUUAGUUUCUGAAUGUGAUCGAGCAGAUUUUUUUGCAACAAAGUUUACAAGCAUGGUUCCAAAAUGGACACCUAUAAGUGACAGUCCUGCCACAAGCAGAAAGUUCUUUUUACUCCAGCUAGCUUUCCUCAUCUUCUCUUCUGGCAGUACUCACAGGUGGUGUUUCAGAGCUAAUUAUACCUAAAACACACAGCCCCAAUGUUAUUUUUCCUUAUUUUUGUGAUCGCUUUGCAUCACGUAUGUCACAAUCCCAGGUUCUGGAACAAUCUCCUCUGUCUUCACUUGGAAAAGAGGACUGGACUUGAUGUGGAACCACGACCAGUGCACCAGGCCAAGGCUAAUUCCCAUAACAAUCAGUACUUUGUAGUCCUUCCAUAAGGUUUUGAGGCUCAUCAUAAACUGGCAUUUAUGUACCUCAGCUCGUCCCUCGCCGGAAACCGGGCCAGGACAAGAGCCGGGGGCUGCGCAAGGCCACCUGCGCGUUUAAAC